UACGGAGGAUCCAAGCGUUAUCCGGAAUCAUUGGGUUUAAAGGGCUCGUAGGCGGUUUAAUAAGUCAGUGGUGAAAGCCCAUCGCUCAACGGUGGAACGGCCAUUGAUACUGUUAGACUUGAAUUAUUAGGAAGUAACUAGAAUAUGUAGUGUAGCGGUGAAAUGCUUAGAGAUUACAUGGAAUACCAAUUGCGAAGGCAGGUUACUACUAAUGGAUUGACGCUGAUGGACGAAAGCGUGGGUAGCGAACAGG
rnacentral:rRNA from 1 species